AAAAAAAAAAAAAAAACUCUGGAGUCUCAACCUCCCAAGCAAGAUCAAGAUUUUCUGGAGGUUCUGUUUACAAAAAUUGCCUACCAAUACUAACCUCCAUCACAAGCUGCAUCAUAUUGAUCCUCACUAUGUUUUUUAUGGGAAAAAGAAAACUAUUCAUCACAUUUUCUUUGGUUGCCCCCUAUGUAAUAUGAAUCUGGAUUAAUUCCCCUAUUCAGUUGAGGUCCUCUUUGUUUCUGCACUCUAACUUGCUGGACUAUUGGGAUGAACUCUGCAAAACUUUAAGUCAGCACCAAGAGGGACCAAACUUGAUUGGAAUGGCAAUUUUCCUAUUGUGGCACAUCUGGAAGGAUCGAAAUGCUCGCCUUUUUGAAGGAAGGCAAACAUCAACUCAUGAGGUAAUUAGUGCUGCCAUUAACCAUUUUGAGGAUUUUUCUAUGGCCAACAUACUAGAGCUUGAAGUAACACAUGCACUGCAACCAGAGAUAUCAACUAAAAUGUGUUGGAUAGCCCAUCCCCUAAGAACCUUCAAGAUAAAUUUUGAUACGGCAAUAUACAUAAAAAAUAUUAGAAGUGCUAGUGCAAUUGUUGCUCGCAACCACAGAGGUCAUAUCUUAUAUUGGAUCUGCAGAAUAUGAAAUCAUAUGGCAGAACCUCUUAUAGUGGAAUGCCUAGCCUGUAGAGAAGCACUGUUUCUAGCCAGGAACAAAGGUUUUUAGAAAGUGAUCUUUGAAGGUAAUUCAUUGAUUGUCAUUAGGUCAUGUUUGAGAAGACAAGCGCCCUUAAUUAGUGACAUUCUGACCUUAGCUCAGCAGUUUGAUGAAUUGUCUUUUUCUUUUGUUAGAAGGCUAGGGAAUCAAAUGGCUCAUGUUUUAGCCAAUAAGUUUCUUUCUAAUGAUGUUUCUAGAUGUAAUAUGGGUAACCAAUAUUUUUUUGUAUCCUCAGCUCUUCCAGUUUAAUGGUUUU
rnacentral:lncRNA from 1 species